AUUACUAUUUGAAUUUGUGGGCUU
rnacentral:piRNA from 1 species